UAUAUAUAUGUACACAUACUCCACGAUUCAUUGGUUAAUGAAUCGAGUUUAAAGGCCAAAUAUUCAUAUUUCACUCUUGUAAAAUUUACAUUCCACUUUUAUUCAUAUAGUUUCAGUUUGGGAAACAAUUAACCAUGUACUUACAAGAUGUAGCAAUCUACGAAAAACUGUACGGUUUUCACCGCUUUUUAUAUUAGUUUCUAAAGCACAAGAGUAUUAAAAGUCAAGAUAAUUGAUGCAAUGCAACAAAGAGAAUAAUAAAAGGUUUUUUCUGUUAAAGUCAAUAGAUUCUUUUGUAUUUAGGGAUAUAUCAGGAGUAAAUUUCAUUUUUGGGCUAGAUUAAUGAAUUAUUUUUAUUAAUUAUUUUAAGAUCAAAGGCAUAGGGCUCGUGUUUUAUGUGCUUUCUUAGUUUGUGCAUGAAAAGUACUAUUUAACCUAUAUUAAGAUUAAAAGAAUAUUCUGUACUCUCUCUCCUUCACUUCUCUGACUCUUGCUCUUGAUAACCCAAACAAAUUUAUGAAAUUACAAGAAAUAGACACGAUCUUUACCGCAAACGCCAAUCAAUUUUGUUUUGAAUCUAUUCGAUUUCAUCUUAAAUCCUUUUAAUUCGCUGUGAGAUCCGUUUGCCUUCACCGCCACUGCUAUAUCACUUUCUGGUGGUGGCCACGCAAAUUGGUUGGAAGAUAUGGGUUUGUCUCCUCAAUUUCAAGUUCAAGAAAUUGAAUGGUGUUUGUGGAGCCACCGCACAAGAGGAGGAUGAUGAUAAGGUCGCCGAGCUUGUAGUUGUGGUUGGGGAGACCUUUGAAGCUGUUGUGGAUGAGAAAGACAGAGCUAAAUCAAGCUUUUAGGGAAUUUCAAAUGGAUUUUGUUUUAUUAUAUACUUUCAAUAGGAAUUUUCUGAUUUUGUUUUUGUCUUGUUCAUGCUUGAUGGGUUCUCCUUGUGAUACACCGGGCAAUAGUUCUAGUUUACUACUGGAAAAAAGAAAAAAAAUUGUGGGGUAAGUGGGAAGGGCACACGAAUUGUGUAAUAUAUGACUAAGACUAUUUUUUUUGAAGCCUAUCGGAGCUAGAAGGACGACAAAAUUGGUAGUUCAAUGAUGGAAGCAGAGCCUUUGACUGGGUUUAAGGAGUUCAAGUGGCAAAGUGUGGGAACUCUGCAUUGCAAUUUCUGUUUCACAAUGCAAACUGCAAUGCAGAGUCUGAAUUUACUACAACAUCAUGAUUGACAUGAUUCCUUCCAAACCAUCAAUGACCUCCACGAAAUCAUGAAGUGGAUAAUGGCGGCAAGGUUUGGGAAGGAGUGGUUGCACGUGUAUAUCAACUAGUAAAGAACUAAGAAACGGACACUGCGAUGGAGCGUCAAAAUUAAAAUGUAAAAAGUAGAAUUAGGAAUACAAAUGUAGAAAAACAAAACAGGCAACGCAGUGUCUGAAUCCAAACGUAAAAAAUAGAUCUACAAAAUGGACACUACACCGCAGCGUCUGAAUUCAAAUAUUAAAAAAUAAAAAAAUAAACAGAUACAGGAAAUGGACACUGCAUUGAAGUGUCUAAAUCUUUAUGUAAAAAAACAUAACAGGAAAAGGACACAUCGUUGCAGUGUCUAAAUUCAAAUGUGGAAAUCAGCAAUCACGUGUGGUGUUAAGCAUAGAAGGCAUGUGAGUGAUGAAAAAAAUAGAACUAGGAAAUAGACACUUCAACGUAGUGUCUGAAUCGAAAAUAAAAACUAAUACCAAGAAACAGACACUGCAUUACAAUGUCUGAAUUCAAAUGUAAAAACGGGCAUGUAUGAGGCAUGUGAGUGAUGGAAAAAACAAAACUAUGAAAUGGACAAUGCAACACAGCGAUUGAAUCCAAAUGUAAAAAACAGACACUCCAACUCUGAUUUGUGUUAUUCCAAAACUUGGGUUGUAUUUUGGCGAUCUUUUCAUAUUAUUCCACUUCUGAAGAACUCUACCCUGAGUAAUCAACCGGAUAUAAUGACUCAUUUCAUUAACCGAAUCAUGCUACGUGGUAGCAGAAGUGUAAAGGUUUUAAAUCUCAAGGGCCGUAGGCAAAAGAGCUUUGAAGAAAGCUUUAAGUUGUAGCUGAGGAACUCAGAGUCUUGCUAAAGAGUAUUUGAAGGUUGUGUUUAAAGGCAGUUACGUUGAUUGAAGAAUCGCUUGACGUUUUUCAUUGUACAGAUUGAAUUUGAUGAAGGGUUUGAGUUUGGAAGCCUGUCUGACUAUUUAUAGGAAUCUGGAGGAACAUCCUUGAUCUUAUUGCUAAGCUAGAGUAGGGGUAGAUAAGUCUUUUGACGUUGGAAAUAACUGCAUUCCUUCGUAGGUGCCUUGCCUAUGCGUUUCUGCCGUUUACAUGUUGUUGUGUUGUCAUCAGCCAUGUCUAGUAAUGCGUCUUUGGUCAUUUACGUGGUAGACGUGGUUUUAGGAUGAGUAAACCCAAGUUCUUGAGAGACCAUGAAGUACUGAGAAGAGGUCAUGACAAGCCCUAAAUAACUAGUCCGAGUUGAGCUUUGAAGUUAGUGGGCUAGUGUCACACGUUUUUACUUAAAUAAAAAUUAAUUUUCCUCGUAAUAAACCUAAUUUUCACUUUUACACAAUGACUAUUGUAACAACCAAUUGGACAAUAAAAAAACUCACAAGUGGUUCCCUCCGGCCAAAUCGACUAGAAGUUGUGAAACAACUCAUCGCACUACUUUGGAAUUCCAAAUUCAUCAUACUACUUUGAAAUUUCAAACAUGAUAAGCUGUAAAAAGUAUUGAAAACAUUUUAGGUUCAUGCUUUUGUUAUUAGAAAUUGAAUUCAAAUUAAAAAACAUGCUCCACAUGAAGUGGUGCCUCUUACUGAAAGGGUGCAAAUAUGGUUUUGAAGGGUUUUCAAACCCCUUCAAAAAUGGACACUUGAGUCUAUAAAUAAAGGACGAAUUUUUUAGUUUAUUACCUACAAAAUCACAUACAAGUGCUACAUGAAAAAUAUUUCCAUUCUUCCCACCUUUUCUUAGAAAAGCACCGUAUAUAUACUCUACAGUUUUUGUUCUUGCUUUCCGCUUGAGUUUUCUUGUUAUAUUUAGUGUAUAUGAGGUUCGUCUUAGGAGUAAGCAAAACUUUGACAAACAAAAAGCGUUAUCCCAAACUUUAAUUUAUUCACAAGGCUAAUUUGCAGCUCCCUUUUGAACACAAAUUGUGGGUUAAUUAAAAGUCUGAAAGACAACGCCAUAAUAUAUAAUGAAACAAUCUUUUCAUCAUACUUUCUUCUACAUAACCAUAACUCAUUAGUCUUAAUUAUCCAGCAUUCUGGUGUAAUGUUGAUAAUAAUAUUUAUGUCUUUUUUUGUUUUUAUAUUGUUUUAAUAGGAAACUUCAAUCUAAUCCUUGGCAAAGAUGACUUUUAGACUAAAAUCAUGAGUAAGAUCAACAUAUAAUUUAAGUCCCUUGAUACAUUAAUAACCUCAUUUAUUAAUUACAUUUGCAUUUUUUAAUUAUUUCUCAUUUUCUUCCUAAUUUUAAUGUAUUAAUUUUAUUUCAUUAUAAUUAUAAUUUUCAUUUCAUUUAUCGUAAUAUAUUUUGUUGUAAACAUUUAGAUAAACUAAUUUUUGUUAUACAAUAUAUUUCAAUGUACAUUGUGUUCUUCAUUUAGGUACAUUAAAUUCAUUAUAAUACAUUUCGGUGCAUACAUUUAGGUACACACAUUUCGGUACAUAUAUUUCGAUACAAUCAUUUAAGUACAUUAAUUCAAUAUAAUAUAUUUUGGUACAUACAUUUCGGUACUAACAUUUCAGUGAAUACAUUUCGGUACACACAUUUAGGUACAUUAAUUUAAUAUAAUACAUUUCGGUGCAUAUAUUUCAAUACAUACAUUUUAGUACUAAUAUUUAAAUACAUUAGUUCAAUAUAAUACAUUUCGGUACAUACAUUUAGGUACAUUAAUUGAGUUUUUCAAGUUUGAAGAAUGUUAAAUAAAAUUAAUUAAUUUAAAAAAAACUUUUUUUUGGUAAAAAAAUAAAUUAAAAUUUGUAUAUUAAUAAAUUUAAAUAUUUAAUGGGAGACAUUAAAUAAAAUGCACAUUAAUUAUUUUGAAUUAAGGACACAUCAAGGGACUAUAAUCUACAUGUAAUCUAGCAUAAGGUUUAUUUUAAAUUUCAAUUUUCUUGAAGGAUUAAAGUUAAACCCCCCCCCCCAAAAAAAAAUGGAAGACUUUUUAAAAUAUUUGUCUAAUGAGAAUUAAACUAUAUAAAAAUUUAUACAGACAAUCACAAAACCAAACGGGUAAACUAAUAUGCAGACACAAUAAGCAAUAUACAUAAUAAAGGUACAUGAAUAUAUAUAUAUAUAUAUAUAUAUAUAUAUAGGUGCAUAUAUAUAUAGGUACACAUAUAUACAUAAGUUUAUACGUAUAGGUACACAAAUGUAUAUAUAGGUGCAUAUAUAUCGGUACAUAAAUAUAUAUUUAUGUACAUAUGCAUUGUGACAAUCCGUCCCUAAUUUUACAUUUUUAUUAAUUUUAAAAGCGUGAAUUUACGAAAAUGCCUUCGAGGCAAAGAUUUUGACCAUCGUUGGCCAUCAGUUUGAGGGACAUAGGACUUAUUCUUUUAGUGUAUUCUCGUAGUACUCGUCACUACAAACACAUAGGCGAAAACCAUUUGCAAGUCCGGAUUAUAACGGUAUAGUUACAGACAUUUGAAAUUAUUUAUUUAAAGUUAGUUAAAUAAAAUGAACUCCCAUCUUGUCAGAAAGAAGCCAAUCAGCUUUCAACAAGGAAAUAGGGAACCAAUCAUACUAUUUCUUUUGAGGACCAACCAGAAAAGUGGAAGAGAAAAACAAGGGCCAAUCAGGAAGAGGGAGAGAAGCUCCCAGCUUCUCCU
rnacentral:lncRNA from 1 species